rnacentral:misc_RNA from 1 species
AAAGCUAUUGAUCUAGUUGAUGAAGCAGCUGCAAAACUGAAGAUGGAGAUCACUUCCAAACCUACUGCCCUUGAUGAAAUUGACCGUUCAGUAUUAAAAUUGGAGAUGGAGAAACUAUCUCUUACAAAUGAUACAGACAGAGCUUCAAAAGAUAGGUUGAACCGUCUUGAUGCAGAGUUGUCUCUGUUAAAGGAGAAACAAGCGGAGCUGACAGAGCAAUGGGAACAUGAGAAGACAGUCAUGACACGCAUUCAGUCGAUUAAGGAAGAGAUAGACAGGGUAAAUCU